AUUGAACGCUGGCGGCAGGCCUAACACAUGCAAGUCGAACGAGUGGCGGACGGGUGAGUAAUGUCUGGGAAACUGCCCGAUGGAGGGGGAUAACUACAGGAAACGGUAGCUAAUACCGCAUACCAUCUGAUGUGCCCAUAUGGGAUUAGCUAGGAGUGGGGGUAACGGCUCACCUAGGCGACGAUCCCUAGCGGGUCUGAGAGGAUGACCAGCCACAGUGGAACUGAGAAACGGUCCAGACUCCUACGGUAGGCAGAAGUGGGGAAUAUUGCACAAUGGGCGCAAGCCUGAUGCAGCCAUGCCGCGUGUAUGAAGAAGGCCUUCGGGUUGUAAAGUACUUUCAGCGAGGAGGCGUUACUCGCAGAUGAAGAACCGGCUAACUCCGUGCCAGCCGCCGCGGUAAUUC
rnacentral:rRNA from 1 species